rnacentral:rRNA from 1 species
UACGUAGGGACCGAGCGUUGUCCGGAAUCAUUGGGCGUAAAGAGCGUGUAGGCGGCCACUUAAGUCCUGCGUGAAAUCUUGCGGCUCAACCGCAAGCGGUCGUGGGAAACUGGGUGGCUAGAGUGCGGGAGAGGAGAGUGGAAUUCCUGGUGUAGCGGUGGAAUGCGCAGAUAUCAGGAAGAACACCCGUGGCGAAGGCGGGUCUCUGGGCCGUAACUGACGCUGAGGAGCGAAAGCGUGGGGAGCGAACAGG